rnacentral:rRNA from 1 species
CCAGACUCCUACGGGAGGCAGCAGUGGGGAAUAUUGCACAAUGGGGGAAACCCUGAUGCAGCGACGCCGCGUGAGCGAAGAAGUAUUUCGGUAUGUAAAGCUCUGUCAGCAGGGAAGAAGAAAGACGGUACCUGACCAAGAAGCCCCGGCUAACUACGUGCCAGCAGCCGCGGUAAUACGUAGGGGGCAAGCGUUAUCCGGAUUUACUGGGUGUAAAGGGAGCGUAGACGGCAGUGCAAGUCUGGAGUGAAAGGCGGGGGCUCAACCCCCGGACUGCUCUGGAAACUGUACGGCUGGAGUGCAGGAGAGGUAAGUGGAAUUCCUAGUGUAGCGGUGAAAUGCGUAGAUAUUAGGAGGAACACCAGUGGCGAAGGCGGCUUACCAAGCUACUUCUGACGUUGAGGCACGAAAGCGUGGGGAGCAAACAGGAUUAGAUACCCCAGUAA